rnacentral:rRNA from 1 species
GUAGGUGGCAAGCGUUUGUCCGGAAUUAUUGGGCGUAAAGCGCGCGCAGGCGGUUCUUUAAGUCUGAUGUGAAAGCCCACGGCUCAACCGUGGAGGGUCAUUGGAAACUGGAGAACUUGAGUACAGAAGAGGAAAGCGGAAUUCCACGUGUAGCGGUGAAAUGCGUAGAGAUGUGGAGGAACACCAGUGGCGAAGGCGGCUUUCUGGUCUGUAACUGACGCUGAGGCGCGAAAGCGUGGGGAGCAAACAGGAUUAGAUACCCUGGUAGUCCACGCCGUAAACGAUGAGUGCUAAGUGUUAGGGGGUUUCCCGCCCCCUUAGUGCUGCAGCUAACGCAUUAAGCACUCCGCCUGGGGAGUACGGCCCGCAAGGCUG